GAUGAACGCUGGCGGCGUGCCUAAUACAUGCAAGUCGAGCGAACAGACGAGGAGCUUGCUCCUCUGACGUUAGCGGCGGACGGGUGAGUAACACGUGGAUAACCUACCUAUAAGACUGGGAUAACUUCGGGAAACCGGAGCUAAUACCGGAUAAUAUAUUGAACCGCAUGGUUCAAUAGUGAAAGACGGUUUUGCUGUCACUUAUAGAUGGAUCCGCGCCGCAUUAGCUAGUUGGUAAGGUAACGGCUUACCAAGGCAACGAUGCGUAGCCGACCUGAGAGGGUGAUCGGCCACACUGGAACUGAGACACGGUCAAGACUCCUACGGGAGGAAGCAGUAGGGAAUCUUCCGCAAUGGGCGAAAGCCUGACGGAGCAACGCCGCGUGAGUGAUGAAGGUCUUCGGAUCGUAAAACUCUGUUAUUAGGGAAGAACAAAUGUGUAAGUAACUAUGCACGUCUUGACGGUACCUAAUCAGAAAGCCACGGCUAACUACGUG
rnacentral:rRNA from 1 species